rnacentral:tRNA from 1 species
CGGUUAGCUCAGUUGGUUAGAGUACUUGCUCGACACGCAAGAGGUCAGUGGUUCGAGUCCACUACCGCCCACCA